GGGUUAGUAGAUUGGUCAUGCCACUGGUAUGUACUGGUCUCACUGAUUCCUCCUUCCUGAUGAACCGUAAUGCCAUUAAUUUGGUGUUGCGGGGAGACUGGACUGUUACUUUGAAAAAAUUAGAGUGUUCAAAGCAGGCCUAUGCCCGAAUACAUUAGCAUGGAAUAAUAAAAUAGGACGUGCGGUUCUAUUUUGUUGGUUUCUAGAGUCGCCGUA
rnacentral:rRNA from 1 species